AAAAAAAGUCCCUCGUCCACUCGGAUUAGUGCUAGGCAGUCGGUCCAUUGUAAAUAAACCCAAACGGCAAACGCAAAUUGUUCAGUUUUUUCCAAACGUACUACCCACACAUCUUUCAUUUUACCUGUUCACCGUGGCGUUGUGGUUUCUCUUUCGUGAUCUCCCGAUCGAUCCACAGGAAUACUUCGCAAGCUUGAUCGAUCUUCUGUGUUCUUAUACAUAAUAAGGUUUGCAAUCUGUUCAUCCCAAUCAUUUUAGGGUUUCUUUAUCAUCAUCAUCCUUUUAUGGAUCACCAAGAAGCUAUGAUCGCCGCGGAAUCUGUUGCGAUGAUGAUCAAAUCCAGUUUAUUUGCUUGUCCUUGGUGGAUAUUUAGGGUUUUAUUCUUAGAUUUUCUUUUACUUUCGUUUGCUUUUGCUGGAGGAUCGGCGAUUGGAUUUCAAGAUUCUAGAUUAUAACUAGUUACAGACUACAAUUGGUGGAUUUUGACAGUGUAGAGAUAUGAGGAUUUGGUUGCCUUAUCAGUGUGUGGAUAUUAUAUGGUUUAUCUGGCUGGAUCUUUCUUUACCAUUUUUAUUAAGGUUUAUUGUGGGGAAUCAGUUUAUUUCUGAACUGUAAGGAUUUGCAAAUAAGAGAUGAACAGCUUUAUAUUGGGAUCUUUUGCUAUGCUUUCUCUGACUCCGAUUAGGGUUUUAGUUUUAAUCGUGUCAGAGAAAACUGAAUCGCCAAAGAUUGUAUGGUUCAACUUGUUCAUUCUGCUAUCGUGUUUUGUCCUUUUAGCAUGGAAGCUGAGACCGUUCAUAGACGACUUGGAGGAGGAGCUGCGCAUAGCAACGUUGUUUGUCGCUUCUGGAUGCGGGGAAAGUGUAAUAGAAACCCGUGUAGGUUCAUGCACAGAGAAUCACAACCUCCUAAUGUUUACCGUAGAACCUCUAAGGAAUCCAAUGUUUUACUGGAGGGACAGUCGAUGAGGAGGUCUAGCUACGGCCUAGGCAAUUCAAUGGCAGGAUCUGAAGCUAAAACUGUUCAGAAGAGUUCCAGUCAUGACAUUAAGCAUCUGCCUAGGAAGCGCCCCAAUCCUAGUAGUUCUUUGGCUUCAGCUACUGGAGGUGGUGUGUCUGAGCAUAAAAUUAUUGAGGAGAGCUCCAGUUCCAGCACCAGCACAGAUUCGGGGAAUAUGGAGGAGAUAGGAGCAUCCAGCAAGUGCUCUGAUGCUUCUGAAGAUAAAACUGUUAACAAGAGCUCAAAUAAGGCAUGUGAUUACUGGAUGUCAGGCAGUUGUAUUCAAGGUGUUGGGUGCCAGUUCUUGCAUUCCUGGUUUCGUGGGGAUUGGUUUUCACUGCUGGCAAACCUCAAGGGACACACUGAGGCUGUCUGUGGGGUGGCACUUCCUUCAGGAUCUGAUAAGCUUUAUUCAGGUAGCAGUGAUGGAAUGGUACAUGUUUGGGAUUGUCAUACUGGUGAGCCCACAAGGGUGAUAAAUCUUGGUGACGAAAUUGGGUCUUUAAUCAGUGAAGGUCCAUGGAUAUUUGUAGGCUUGCCAAAUGUUGUUAAGGCGUGGAACAUCGAAACAGCUGCUGAAUAUAAUCUUAAUGGACCAGUUGGCCAAGUUUAUGCUAUGACUGUUUCUUCUGAUACGCUUUUUGCGGGGGCACAGGAUGGUUCCAUUUUGGCAUGGAAAGGGAGUACAGAAAGCCCAAAUCCUUUUGAACUUGCCACAUCUUUGAAAGGCCAUACUGGUGCUGUGAUAUGCUUAACUAUUGGAAGGGAUAGGCUUUACUCUGGUUCUAUGGACAGUACAAUAAGGGCGUGGGAAGUCGAUACUUUGCAGUGUAUUCACACGCUCAAUGGUCAUGCCGAUGCUGUGAUGUCCCUUAUAUGCUGGGAUGAGUAUUUGUUGUCUUGUUCAUUAGACCGGACAAUAAAAGUCUGGGCCUCUGCUGAAGAGGGGAACAUAGAGGUGAUCUAUACACAUGAGAUGGAGCAUGGUGCUAUUGCUUUUUGCGGGCUGCCUGACGCAGAAGACAAACCGGUUUUAUUUUGCUCUUGCAAUGACAAUUCUAUUUACCUAUACGAUCUACCAUCAUUCAACGAGAGGGGUAGGAUUUUUUCGAAAGGAGGAGUGAGAACAAUCGAGACAGGUCCUGAUGGUCUUUUUUUCACCGGUGAUAGAACAGGAUUGCUUAAUGUUUGGAAGUUGGCUGAAUCACAUGGAAGAGUUCAACAAGUAGCUUAGCAGUUAUGUACUUUGUACUCGGUUCUUAAAUAGAGAUUAAUUUGAGAACUACGUGGACCUGAUCCUCCUCCAUAGGAGUAUGAUAAAAGAAGAAAACAAUGUUAUGAUCGAGGAGAAGCAAAUUGAAAAAUCUCAAUCUUUAAUUUCUUCAACACGAAGCUCGAAUGAAGGGACAGCAGACCAUAGUUGCAAAACUGAAGAACGAAAGAGUAAUGAUCAAAUGAAAAAGAAGCAAAGCAAAAAGUCUCAUUCGUUCAAUUCUUCAAGAGGAAGCUUGAGUGAGAGGCUAGGUAGAAGAGCCUCAGUGUACAGGCCUCGAAAGAGUGAUGUCGAAAGUAGCUUGAGUUACAGCAGGCCUAAAAGGGGUGAAGCUGAAAGUUAUCACAAGGGGAUUCGAAAACUUACGCCGAGAUAUCCCAAGGAUAGUGGUAUUGAAAUUACCAUUUCAUCUACCUCCACAUCAUUGACGUUCAAGGGAAGAAGCUAGAGUGGAAGGAUGAUAAAAGAAUGGAAGGAAUUUCAGACACCGCAGUUGUAAAGAACGAAGUGAACCUAGAUGGCAGCAAUCGUAAUGCUUCUAUUUCUCCAGUUAGUUCGAAUUGGUGCAGUAGCUCCGAUGACGAUCCAAGUUCUAUAACAAAAAAUACUGUCACAAGUAUAACUACAAAACCAUCCAAAAUUCCCAGCAAUAGUAACGUUCCUAUGUUUGGGAAAGUAAGUGAAGAUUCCACUAGUGAAAGGGUGACAUUGAGUUCAACAAAUGACAUAAUGUCAACAGAUACUAGUAUAUCACGGGAUUUCUUUCCUCCAAACUAGGUGAUAUUAGGCCAGGAGUUGUUAUGGCAGGGAGAAAUUAUUUUGCUUGCUGCUGUGGAGGCUUUACAAGAGGCUUCUGCUGCUGAGAAAUUGCUCAAAUGCCUAAGGUGUGCUACUUAGUGUGAUAACUAUUGCCAGCAGAGGCUUUGCUGAUGUAUUUAGGUAAUUAAUGACAGAUGUGAGAGAAGUUUAAGACUGUUUUGUCAGGUAAUACUUUAUUGUGAUUUUUCCAGUAUUUAUUCUCUGAGUCAAGGAGGAUAAGCAGCAUCCAUCAGUAGACAAAUUUUUUAGUCUUCAGGAUGACUGGGUUCAGGCCAAAUUAAUUUCUCGAUCAUUAACCAGUAUUAUUAAUCAGGGAAUAGCUAAUACUUGAUACAAUUGCUCCUUAUUCUGUAAGAGAAGAUACAAAACUUGCAUUUGAGAGAAAGCUAAAUGCAAUUACAUGGAUGACAGCAGCUUUGGAUUCUGAUCUUAACCCAGUUUCUGAUCAUAUCAAAGCCACUAGUAUUUCCAUGUAAAGUAGUAGUACACAGAGAAGUGGAUUGAUAUGGACAAUCAACAGGAUGGGAUGAAGGGAAGUGCUUUGGCUGUAUCGUCAGAAAUUGCAAAUGCCUUGAAUAAAGAGUGUAGAACCUUCUUUGCUUUCAUUGAUACCAUUUUAAAGAUGCUAGGAUUUGUGAUUCAACAUUUGUAGUUACUACAAAAUUUAUCGAUGAAGAUGUAUUGAAAAGGUAUGAGAAAGAGAUAAUGGAAUUUGGGGAUUUCUCUCUAGUGCUCGCCAUCCUGGCAACACUUGCAAUGCUCAACCUGCUCUGCUUUGUUGGAGUUGUGAAUAAAGUGAUCAUGAAUGGCUAUAUUUUUAGGCUUUACAAGACUAUGCCUUUGCAAACUGUUCUUUGUAGUGCCUUGGUUCUUAUCAACUUGCCUCUAUAUCGAGUCCUCUUCCCAAGGAAUGAUAAGGGCAAGUUGCCAAGUUCUCUAGCUUUCAAAUCAUUUGUUGUGGCUUUUCUUGCUUGUACUAGCUUCACUCUCCUAUAUUGAUUCUUCCUUUUGGCUAUUUACAUGUUCUGUAACUUACUGAUACAUGUAUCCAAUCCUUUAAACGUCGCCUGUAAGUUUAGCAAAACAAAGCCAAUCCUAGGUCUCGGAAAUACAUUUAUCCAGGCUUUUUCCUAAGGCUAUACAUUUAUUGAGAUAUGUUUUCUAUUUUCUA